rnacentral:tRNA from 1 species
GCGGAUAUAGCUUAGAAGGUAGAGUGUCGGUUUGUGGUACCGAAUGGGUGGGUUCAAUUCCCACUAUUCGCC